GAUGAACGCUGGCGGCGUGCCUAAUACAUGCAAGUCGAGCGAACAGACGAGGAGCUUGCUCCUCUGACGUUAGCGGCGGACGGGUGAGUAACACGUGGAUAACCUACCUAUAAGACUGGGAUAACUUCGGGAAACCGGAGCUAAUACCGGAUAAUAUAUUGAACCGCAUGGUUCAAUAGUGAAAGACGGUUUUGCUGUCACUUAUAGAUGGAUCCGCGCCGCAUUAGCUAGUUGGUAAGGUAACGGCUUACCAAGGCAACGAUGCGUAGCCGACCUGAGAGGGUGAUCGGCCGCACUGGAACUGAGACACGGUCCAGACUCCUACGGGAGGCAGCAGUAGGGAAUAUUCCGCAAUGGGCGAAAGCCUGACGGAGCAACGCCGCGUGAGUGAUGAAGGUCUUCGGAUCGUAAAACUCUGUUAUUAGGGAAGAACAACUGUGUAAGUAACUAUGCACGUCUUGACGGUACCUAAUCAGAAAGCCACGGCUAACUACGUG
rnacentral:rRNA from 1 species